GGUUCUAUGGUGUAAUGGUUAGCACUCUGGGUUCUGAAUCCAGCGAUCCGAGUUCCAAUCUCGGUGGGACCU
rnacentral:tRNA from 1 species